GGCGUGCCUAACACAUGCAAGUCGAACGCGAAGCCCGUUUUCGAAUGGGUAGAAAGUGGCGUCCGGGUGCGUAACACGUAGCUGACCUGCCCUGCACAGGGGGAUAAUAUACGGAAACGUGUGCUAAUACCCCGUACGCUCCUGGGAACUAGAGCCCCAGGAGGAAAGCUCCGGCGGUGUAGGAGGGGGCUGCGAUCCAUCAGCUGGUUGGUGAGGUAACGGCUCACCAAGGCAACGACGGAUAGGGGACCUGAGAGGGUGACCCCCCACACUGGAACUGACACACGGUCCAGACUCCUACGGGAGGCAGCAGUGAGGAAUAUUGCGCAAUGGAGGCAACUCUGACGCAGCAACGCCGCGUGCGGGAUGAAGGUCUUCGGAUCGUAAACCGCUUUUCUGCGGGAAGAUAGUGACGGUACCGCAGGAAUAAGUCUCGGCUAACUACGUGCCAGCAGCCGCGGUAAAACGUAGGAGGCAAGCGUUAUCCGGAUUUACUGGGCGUGAAGCGCGUGCAGGCGGCGCGUUAAGUCGUGCGUGAAAGCUCCCAGGCUCAACCGGGAGAGGUCGUGCGAGACUGGCGUGCUCGAGACAGGCAGAGGCAGGUGGAAUUCCGGGUGUAGUGGUGAAAUGCGUAGAGAUCCGGAGGAACACCAUUGGCGAAGGCGGCUGGUUGGGC
rnacentral:rRNA from 1 species